GGAUUUUCCUACAUCGAAGACAAAGGAGUCCAAAAGCACGCAUCUGAAUAAACUUUUCGAGCGGUUUAGCGACUACUUUCCCGAUAAACAACCCGAGGACGACUGGGUGCGCGACCCGUUUGGAAUAAACAUGGAAAGCAUCACGUUGCCUAGCAGCGAUUAAUGUCAGCUGGUGGAGCUAUCAUGUGACCGCACUCUCAGAAAGAAAUUCACAGAGGUUUCCCAGAGACUAUGGGUUGAGGAGGAAUUGGAAAUUUGUCGGCUUAGACCUGGUGUCAUUCCAUCAGUGUUAAACUUCUCGGCUCAUCUUGGAAGAGUACGUGCCAGAAAGACCACGACCAAGCAGCCUUGAGAUCUUAGACAGCGUCUCCCUCAGUUCAAAGGUCCCUCUCUAUCU
ensembl:lncRNA